rnacentral:rRNA from 1 species
ACCGGCGGCUCGAGUGGUAGCCACUAUUAUUGGGCUUAAAGCGUUCGUAGCUGGCUUGAUAAGUCUCUGGGGAAAUCUUACAGCUCAACUGGAAGGCGUCCUAGGGAUACUGGCAGGCUAGGGACCGGAAGAGGUGAGAGGUACUCCAGGGGUAGGAGUGAAAUCCUGUAAUCCUUGGGGGACCACCUGUGGCGAAGGCGUCUCACCAGGACGGCUCCGACAGUGAGGAACGAAAGCUGGGGGAGCAAACCG